rnacentral:rRNA from 1 species
UGGCUCAGAACGAACGCUGGCGGCGCGUCUUAAGCAUGCAAGUCGAGCGGUAAGAUAGAGCUUGCUCUAUCCUAGAGCGGCGGACUGGUGAGUAACGCGUGGGUGACGUACCCUUGUGACGGGGACAGCUCCUAGAAAUAGGAGAUAAUACCGGAUACGCUGUGCAUUGUCAGAGGAUGUACAGGAAAGGAUCUUUUGAUCCGCACGAGGAGCGGCCCGCGUACUAUUAGCUAGUUGGUGAGGUAACGGCCCACCAAGGCGACGAUAGUUACCCGGCCUAAGAGGGUGAUCGGGCACAUUGGGACUGAGAUACGGCCCAGACUCCUACGGGAGGCAGCAGCUAAGAAUAUUCCGCAAUGGACGAAAGUCUGACGGAGCGACGCCGCGUGGAUGAUGAAAGGUCGGAAGAUUGUAAAAUCCUUUUAUGACUGAGGAAUAAGGAGGGUGAGAGAAACGCCUUCUGGUGACUGUAGGUCAUGAAUAAGAGGCGGCUAAUUACGUGCCAGCAGCCGC